rnacentral:piRNA from 1 species
AACAACUUUGGACCUAGAGGAGU